UUUGGUUAAGUUAGAAAGGGCGCACGGUGGAUGCCUUGACACUAGGAGUCGAUGAAGGACGGGACUAACGCCGAUAUGCUUCGGGGAGCUGUAAGUAAGCUUUGAUCCGAAGAUUUCCGAAUGGGGAAACCCACCAUACGUAAUGGUAUGGUAUCCUUAUCUGAAUACAUAGGGUAAGGAAGACAGACCCAGGGAACUGAAACAUCUAAGUACCUGGAGGAAGAGAAAGCAAAUGCGAUUUCCUGAGUAGCGGCGAGCGAAACGGAACAUAGCCCAAACCAAGAGGCUUGCCUCUUGGGGUUGUAGGACAUUCUAUACGGAGUUACAAAGGAACGAGGUAGACGAAGCGACCUGGAAAGGUCCGUCGUAGAGGGUAACAACCCCGUAGUCGAAACUUCGUUCUCUCUUGAAUGUAUCCUGAGUACGGCGGAACACGUGAAAUUCCGUCGGAAUCUGGGAGGACCAUCUCCCAAGGCUAAAUACUCCCUAGUGAUCGAUAGUGAACCAGUACCGUGAGGGAAAGGUGAAAAGCACCCCGGAAGGGGAGUGAAAGAGAUCCUGAAACCGUGUGCCUACAAAUAGUCAGAGCCCGUUAACGGGUGAUGGCGUGCCUUUUGUAGAAUGAACCGGCGAGUUACGAUCCCGUGCGAGGUUAAGCUGAAGAGGCGGAGCCGCAGCGAAAGCGAGUCUGAAUAGGGCGUUUAGUACGUGGUCGUAGACCCGAAACCAGGUGAUCUACCCAUGUCCAGGGUGAAGUUCAGGUAACACUGAAUGGAGGCCCGAACCCACGCACGUUGAAAAGUGCGGGGAUGAGGUGUGGGUAGCGGAGAAAUUCCAAUCGAACCUGGAGAUAGCUGGUUCUCCCCGAAAUAGCUUUAGGGCUAGCCUUAAGUGUAAGAGUCUUGGAGGUAGAGCACUGAUUGGACUAGGGGUCCUCAUCGGAUUACCGAAUUCAGUCAAACUCCGAAUGCCAAUGACUUAUCCUUAGGAGUCAGACUGCGAGUGAUAAGAUCCGUAGUCAAAAGGGAAACAGCCCAGACCGCCAGCUAAGGUCCCAAAGUGUGUAUUAAGUGGAAAAGGAUGUGGAGUUGCUUAGACAACUAGGAUGUUGGCUUAGAAGCAGCCACCAUUUAAAGAGUGCGUAAUAGCUCACUAGUCGAGUGACUCUGCGCCGAAAAUGUACCGGGGCUAAAUACACCACCGAAGCUGCGGAUUGAUACCAAUGGUAUCAGUGGUAGGGGAGCGUUCUAAGGACAGUGAAGUCAGACCGGAAGGACUGGUGGAGUGCUUAGAAGUGAGAAUGCCGGUAUGAGUAGCGAAAGACGGGUGAGAAUCCCGUCCACCGAAUGCCUAAGGUUUCCUGAGGAAGGCUCGUCCGCUCAGGGUUAGUCAGGACCUAAGCCGAGGCCGACAGGCGUAGGCGAUGGACAACAGGUUGAUAUUCCUGUACCACCUCUUUAUCAUUUGAGCAAUGGAGGGACGCAGAAGGAUAGAAGAAGCGUGCGAUUGGUUGUGCACGUCCAAGCAGUUAGGCUGAUAAGUAGGCAAAUCCGCUUAUCGUAAAGGCUGAGCUGUGAUGGGGAAGCUCCUUAUGGAGCGAAGUCUUUGAUUCCCCGCUGCCAAGAAAAGCUUCUAGCGAGAUAAAAGGUGCCUGUACCGCAAACCGACACAGGUAGGCGAGGAGAGAAUCCUAAGGUGUGCGAGAGAACUCUGGUUAAGGAACUCGGCAAAAUGACCCCGUAACUUCGGGAGAAGGGGUGCUUUCUUAACGGAAAGCCGCAGUGAAUAGGCCCAAGCGACUGUUUAGCAAAAACACAGCUCUCUGCGAAGCCGUAAGGCGAAGUAUAGGGGGUGACACCUGCCCGGUGCUGGAAGGUUAAGGAGAGGGGUUAGCGUAAGCGAAGCUCUGAACUGAAGCCCCAGUAAACGGCGGCCGUAACUAUAACGGUCCUAAGGUAGCGAAAUUCCUUGUCGGGUAAGUUCCGACCCGCACGAAAGGUGUAACGAUUUGGGCACUGUCUCAACCAGAGACUCGGUGAAAUUAUAGUACCUGUGAAGAUGCAGGUUACCCGCGACAGGACGGAAAGACCCCGUGGAGCUUUACUGUAGCCUGAUAUUGAAUUUUGGUACAGUUUGUACAGGAUAGGCGGGAGCCUUUGAAACCGGAGCGCUAGCUUCGGUGGAGGCGCUGGUGGGAUACCGCCCUGACUGUAUUGAAAUUCUAACCUACGGGUCUUAUCGACCCGGGAGACAGUGUCAGGUGGGCAGUUUGACUGGGGCGGUCGCCUCCUAAAGUGUAACGGAGGCGCCCAAAGGUUCCCUCAGAAUGGUUGGAAAUCAUUCGUAGAGUGCAAAGGCAUAAGGGAGCUUGACUGCGAGACCUACAAGUCGAGCAGGGACGAAAGUCGGGCUUAGUGAUCCGGUGGUUCCGCAUGGAAGGGCCAUCGCUCAACGGAUAAAAGCUACCCCGGGGAUAACAGGCUUAUCUCCCCCAAGAGUCCACAUCGACGGGGAGGUUUGGCACCUCGAUGUCGGCUCAUCGCAUCCUGGGGCUGUAGUCGGUCCCAAGGGUUGGGCUGUUCGCCCAUUAAAGCGGUACGCGAGCUGGGUUCAGAACGUCGUGAGACAGUUCGGUCCCUAUCCGUCGUGGGCGUAGGAAAUUUGAGAGGAGCUGUCCUUAGUACGAGAGGACCGGGAUGGACGCACCGCUGGUGUACCAGUUGUUCUGCCAAGGGCAUAGCUGGGUAGCUAUGUGCGGAAGGGAUAAGUGCUGAAAGCAUCUAAGCAUGAAGCCCCCCUCAAGAUGAGAUUUCCCAUAGCGUAAGCUAGUAAGAUCCCUGAAAGAUGAUCAGGUUGAUAGGUUUGAGGUGGAAGCAUGGUGACAUGUGGAGCUGACGAAUACUAAUAGAUCGAGGACUUAACCAUAUAA
rnacentral:rRNA from 1 species